GACGAACGCUGGCGGCGUGCUUAACACAUGCGAGUCGAACGGUAAGGCCCUUCGGGGUACACGAGUGGCGAACGGGUGAGUAACACGUGGGUGAUCUGCCCUGCACUUCGGGAUAAGCCUGGGAAACUGGGUCUAAUACCGGAUAGGACCACUGCCUGCAUGGGUGGUGGUGGAAAGCUUUUGCGGUGUGGGAUGGGCCCGCGGCCUAGCAGCUUGUUGGUGGGGUGAUGGCCUACCAAGGCGACGACGGGUAGCCGGCCUGAGAGGGCGACCGGCCACACUGGGACUGAGAUACGGCCCAGACUCCUACGGGAGGCAGCAGUGGGGAAUAUUGCACAAUGGGCGCAAGCCUGAUGCAGCGACGCCGCGUGAGGGAUGACGGCCUUCGGGUUGUAAACCUCUUUCAGCACCGACGAAGCGCGAGUGACGGUAGGUGCAGAAGAAGGACCGGCCAACUACGUGCCAGCCGCCGCAGUAA
rnacentral:rRNA from 1 species